rnacentral:rRNA from 1 species
CCCUUAGACGUUCUGGGCCGCACGCGCGCUACACUGACCAGUGCAACAAGCAUCCGUCCUUGGCCGACAGGCCCGGGCAAUCUUUGAACGCUGGUCGUGAUGGGGAUAGACUUUUGCAAUUUUUGGUCUUCAACGAGGAAUUCCUAGUAAACGCAAGUCAUCAACUUGCAUUGAUUACGUCCCUGCCCUUUGUACACACCGCCCGUCGCUACUACCGAUUGAAUGCUUGUAUGAGGCCUUUGGAUUGGCACCCUGUGCUGAGAAAAUGAACAAAUACCAGCAUUUAGAGGAAGUAAAAGUCGUAACA